AUGCGNNCUAUNAUGCAAGUCGAACGGGGAGUACUUACUUCGCGUUUUUACUCCUAGUGGCGAACGGGUGAGUAACGCGUUGGUGACCUGCCCCGAAGAGGGGGACAACCCCGCGAAAGCGGGGCUAAUACCCCAUAGUGUCGUAGAGGUUAGAGGCUAUACGACUAAAGGAGCAAUCCACUUCGGGAGGGGCCUGCGUCCCAUCAGCUAGUUGGUAAGGUAACGGCCUACCAAGGCAAAGACGGGUAGGGGGCCUGAGAGGGUGGCCCCCCACACUGGCACUGAAACACGGGCCAGACACCUACGGGUGGCAGCAGUAGGGAAUAUUGCACAAUGGGCGAAAGCCUGAUGCAGCAACGCCGCGUGCGCGAAGAAGGCCUUCGGGUUGUAAAGCGCUUUUCUGGAGGAAGAGGAAGGACGGUACUCCAGGAAUAAGGAUCGGCUAACUACGUGCCAGCAGCCGCGGUAACACGUAGGAUCCGAGCGUUAUCCGAAUUUAUUGGGCGUAAAGCGCGUGUAGGCGGCCGGGUAAGUUGGACGUGAAAGCUCCUGGCUCAACUAGGAGAGGUCGUUCAAAACUGCCUGGCUAGAGGGCGACAGAGGGAGGUGGAAUUCCCGGUGUAGUGGUGAAAUGCGUAGAUAUCGGGAGGAACACCAGUGGCGAAGGCGGCCUCCUGGGUCGCCCCUGACGCUCAGACGCGAAAGCUAGGGGAGCGAACGGGAUUAGAUACCCCGGUAGUCCUAGCUGUAAACGAUGUGGACUUGGCGUUGGUGGGGUUAAAUCCAUCAGUGCCGGAGCUAAUGCGAUAAAUCCACCGCCUGGGGACUACNGCCGCAAGGUUAAAACUCA
rnacentral:rRNA from 1 species